rnacentral:rRNA from 1 species
GACGAACGCUGGCGGCGUGCUUAACACAUGCAAGUCGAACGGUAGGGCCCUUCGGGGUACACGAGUGGCGAACGGGUGAGUAACACGUGGGUGAUCUGCCCUGCACUUCGGGAUAAGCCUGGGAAACUGGGUCUAAUACCGGAUAGGACCACUGCCUGCAUGGGUGGUGGUGGAAAGCUUUUGCGGUGUGGGAUGGGCCCGCGGCCUAUCAGCUUGUUGGUGGGGUGAUGGCCUACCAAGGCGACGACGGGUAGCCGGCCUGAGAGGGUGACCGGCAACACUGGGGCUGGGAUACGGCCCAGGCUCCUACGGGUGGCAGCAGUGGGGAAUAUUGCACAAUGGGCGCAAGCCUGAUGCAGCGACGCCGCGUGAGGGAUGCCGGCCUUCGGGUUGUAAACCUCUUUCAGCACCGACGAAGCGCAAGUGACGGUAGGUGCAGAAGAAGGACCGGCCAACUACGUGCCAGCCGCCGCAGUAA